UACGGGGGGGGCAAGCGUUGUUCGGAAUUACUGGGCGUAAAGGGCUCGUAGGUGGCCAACUAAGUCAGACGUGAAACCCCUCGGCUUAACCGGGGAACUGCGUCUGAUACUGGAUGGCUUGAGUUUGGGAGAGGGAUGCGGAAUUCCGGGUGUAGCGGUGAAAUGCGUAGAUAUCUGGAGGAACACCGGUGGCGAAGGCGGGUCUCUGGGCCGAUACUGACGCUGAGGAGCGAAAGCGUGGGGAGCGAACAGG
rnacentral:rRNA from 1 species